UUUGGGCAAGGAAGGAUUUACACCUUGUAAAAAGUUAUUCUUUAUACGAAGGCUGUGCCUAAUAGGAAUAUUUCGGGAGAGUCUGUUGAACAAGAAAGGAACUGAGCACCAGAUGGAAAGUCCUUUGCCUACCUCCUCCUUCCUGCAUGGAGUUAAAGCCACAGCACUGCUCCUUCAGCCCCAGCUCAUACUAAGUUCCAUUUGUCCCCUUGUCAUGUCACAGCCAACACCCUCUGUCAUCACAGUGCUGCCAGCAUGUCCAAGUUCUGAGCUGCAGCAUCCAGGCGACGGGAACACGGUAGGGAGAUGCCGAGUGGUCUCAUUGCUUUCCUUUGCCUUGACAAGAAGCAGAAGGGCCAUUUAGGGAUGGCAGAAGCCUUCAGCACAAAGACUCUUUCUGACCUUCAAAAACAUCAGCGCCAAAUUGCCGGCAAACAAUGCAGCGAGCUAGCAGCGCUGCGCCGGUCCAAACCCGGGGGUUCACCCAUCACCACGCGCCGACGGCUCUGACAGCACUGAACAACAGCAGAAAUAGCAAUUUCUCACCGAGCAUCGCGCCUGACAUCUCCCCGACCUGCGAGCAGCAGGGACCCUGCACACAGG